AGAUGUCCUUGACAGAGGAUAGGGGUGCCUUUUAUAAGGAUGACCUGAUUCAGCAGGGGCUUCCCUGAAAGGGGCGAGAGAGAGGUGAAGUCUGCAGGGGACGCAGGGCAGAGUGAGGGGCCUGGUAGGAAGCCCUUGGCAGGGUUGGGUGGGGCGCUACAAAACCAUCUCGAAAGACAAGAGAGACCCCUUGCCACGCUGCCUAUUUGAGGGGAAGUCUCUGAACCUGAGUGACGACAGUGAAGAGAAACUAAAAAACAGUCAUGUUCCAGUGGAAGAAAGAAUGCCCAGAACCUGAGCCCAAAAGAGCACAGACGACUCUUCCACAUACCCAGCGCCCCGGAAUUCACACAGAGAAGUCACUGUCUUCCUUAAGGAAGUCCUCAGUCGUCUCCCUGAGCAACAUGAAGAGAACAGUGAGUCAGCCCAGGGCACAGCCAGCCCCCUCCUGCUCCCCAGAUCAGCACGCAGCAUGCCAGCAUCCUGGGACACAGACAUCCUUGUCCUCAGAAGUUACCCAAACCGUCUGCUCCUGCUCCGUGUGUGAAACUGUUUUGAAGAUGAAAAGUUCCAUAUAUGAUCCAAAUACCAUUAUUUUCUUCUUUUGGAAAAGGAGCCCCUACCCGCUCACUUGGUGUGCCUGGACUCCAGAAGGGCCUGUGGGAGGAGGCUCGGCUGGGGUUGAAGGCUCCACCUGAGGGGCAAGAGAAGGGCCAGUGGCACCCGGACUGGCUCAGACGGCUCCUGUCUGAGUUCUGGGUGCCUGCCUGGGUUUCCGUGGGGGCUUCAACCUUGUCCCUGGCCCUCCUGCUCUUAAGAUACUCGCGGCUCAUAGGCCGUCAGCAGACACGACUGAAGCCCAAAGGAGGACAUCGUCGUCUCAGCUUUGGAGCCGCUGGCAGAGGCAAUGCCAUCACCGAUGAGCAGAGCUCCUGACGUGGAGCUCUUCCGCACGCCGACAAGUGCUUAUGAGCAAAAUGGAUUAUGUUUGCUCUGCAGAGAGCGGCGCCUCCAGGGAACACAGCUUCUCCUUGCCGCACCUCAUUUGUAAUGUGAUUGAAAUAUGAAAAUAAUUUUCUCUGCCUACAUCGCUUCAAUCCAUUGAUAUUAACUAUAAAAACAAAUGUCUGGCAAAGGCCAAACAAGCAGAUGGCUUGUCAGCGUUUAGGAAUGGGAAAGAGGUCGCGGAGCGUGUGAUCGCUCAGAUCAGCGCGGGCCCCGGCCGGCCGUGAGGAGCAGCCAGCGUGCCUCUGUGCUCGCCCUGUCCCCUGCCCAUGUGGGGCCCCGGUCUCACCCGGACGUCACCCGGGCAGCAGAGGGCUUGCUGCCCUGUGCCUUGCUACCCUGCUCUGUGUUUCUGAUUCAGCCCCUCUGUGUUGGGGCCCCAAAGUUUGCUUUGCUGACAACGUCCCAGGUAAAGCUGCUGAGUUGGGGGGCCACACUUUGAGAAGCACCCACUCAGGGCACCCAGCUUCCUUCACCUAACUUGGCCAAAGGACAAGCUGAAGGACAAAUGGAACAUCACAGAUGAGCCUGCCCGCAGUGGGACAGCCGAGCCCGACACUCACGAUUCCUCCUUGUUACUGAUCUAGUAAGCUUUCUUCUCUGCCUGCACCCCAGGGGACAUAAGGGGCCACACUAACUGAGCAAAAUGUACAAUCAGGACGUUUUCAUGGCAGUGCUCUUUGCUGUUGAAAAUCUGAUGAAAGCUGGGGAGAAUUCCCCACACAGAAGUCGCACAUACACACAGGCUGAAUUAUACAUUUACUUUCACGGGUUCAUGAAUUUCGUGAAUCCCAAGGUAAGAAGCCUUAAUACUCUGAAAAGUAAACAGAAAGGGAAGAUGUAAACAGGUUUCUGAGAUAAAAAUAGAAAAAUAAUUUGUAAGGGAAUUUAUCCUGAAGCUCCUUGGCGUGCAAGGUAAAUUCAAAGAUGAGAGUGUUGGGCUGACACACGAGAGUGUUUGCUGUGGAUGACGUCUCCUGGGCACGGGGUCUGCGGGCCUGGCCGGGGGCUUGAGGAUGGAGGGGAGCCGGUGGUCAGAGAACGACAGUCCAGAGGCGGGUCUGAGCGUCCGUCUGCAGACAGGGCACUACUGUGACCUUGAAGAUGGCUUUCCGCAGAGGCUGCCGCAUGAAGCUUCUCCUGGUUCUUUCCCUUGGGGUCUGCUGAUGCCCUGCGAGUCCAGGGCUGCCCUCCCUGCCCUGAGACCUGCCCCUGCCCUGAGACCUCCCUGGGGCUGAACGUAGAGGUGAAUGAUGCCCAUUCAGGGCUCCACCUGUGCAAGGCGCACAUCCAGGGGCCUUUGCGGUCCUCAGAGAAGCCCUUGCGAGUGUCCCACUGUGCAGGCAAGGAGGCAGGCUCCCCAGGAGGCCGUGUGACUUGUCCAAGCCACCCAGGGCGCAGGAGAGCCAGCACCCAAACACAGUGAGCCUCGCCACAGCCGCCACUGCCGACUCACCCAAGCUGGAUGGGCUGCCAUGCCCAGGAGCCCGCAGCCCUUUCCCCAGCCCCUGCCUGGGACAAGACCUGCCCUCUCCCUGGAGGAGAGACCGUCCCUGCUCCUUUCCCAGCGGGAGACCUCUUCCCGGUUCUCUCCUCCUCUAGCCAUUGUAACCAGCUUCCCCCAGGGGACCGUAAACACAGAUGCCGUCCCCGAAUGCACCUCCACCUGCCGAGAGCAGCCUCAUAUGUCUGUGCAUAAGUAAAAUCGACAGUCGCUGUAUCGUCCAACAGCUCUGAGAUGGAAUCCCGGGUCUGCAGAUCACAAACCAUGCGGAUUCAGACGAGUUCUCCCUGUGUGUUCCUGGGUGGAAGCAGGGGCGGCACGCUCUCAGCACUCUUGUGAGCACACCCCAGAAUGGAAUACGGAUCAUUCCACUCAGAGACUGGCUCGCAGUAUGCGUGUCAUGCACGCUUGCUUUGCUUUCCACGUCUGGAGUGAAGGCGAAAGCUUCGUCUUCGCCCUCAGCAUAUGGAAGCUCCGAGACCCAUCAUGAAACUGUCAGCUGGGAUGCGCACUGUAGCUCAAAUUAAAAUAUUUCUGUGCACUGGUGUUCUUUGUGCUGGAGGCAAACUCCGCUGACAUAUGUCUGCAGUACCGCAUUUGCAAGUAGAAUGACACUUUAAAGAACUUUGCAAUAAAUAUUUUGUUUUCCA
rnacentral:lncRNA from 1 species